GUUGCAUGGCUGGUGAGGAUCACUGUCUUAGGAAGUGCCGUCUUAAUCUGAUGAUUAUAAUUAGGACGCUGAGGCCG
rnacentral:snoRNA from 1 species